rnacentral:rRNA from 1 species
AGGGUUCGAUUCUGGCUCAGGAUGAACGCUGGCGGCGUGCUUAACACAUGCAAGUCGAACGGAGUGCCCAUGACGGAGUUUUCGGACAACUGAUUGGGUUACUUAGUGGCGGACGGGUGAGUAACGCGUGAGUAACCUGCCUUGGAGUGGGGAAUAACAGUCGGAAACGACUGCUAAUACCGCAUGAUGCAUUUGGGCUGCAUGGCUCUGAAUGCCAAAGAUUUAUCGCUCUGAGAUGGACUCGCGUCUGAUUAGCUAGUUGGUGAGGUAACGGCUCACCAAGGCGACGAUCAGUAGCCGGACUGAGAGGUUGGCCGGCCACAUUGGGACUGAGACACGGCCCAG